UUUCCGUAGGUGAACCUGCGGAAGGAUCAUUAAUGUGUUUGGGCCUCACGGCUCUUCAUUCCGACGCUGUGCGCCUUCGGGCUGCACGCUGAGGGAGCAUAUAUCCACCCCUGUGCACACACACGGUGGCGACCUGGGUAACGGCUCGCCGCUGAUCUUUACACACGUCUAAAAGUCAUUGUAUGUGUAUUUGAGAUAAAAUCACAACUUUCAGCAACGGAUCUCUUGGCUCUC
rnacentral:misc_RNA from 1 species